rnacentral:rRNA from 1 species
UGGGGAAUCUUGCGCAAUGCGCGAAAGCGUGACGCAGCAACGCCGCGUGGGGGAAGAAGGCCUUCGGGUUGUAAACCCCUUUCAGGAGGGACGAAGGUUCGGCGGUGAAUAGCCGUCCGGACUGACGGUACCUCCAGAAGAAGCUCCGGCUAACUACGUGCCAGCAGCCGCGGUAAUACGUAGGGGGCAAGCGUUGUCCGGAAUCAUUGGGCGUAAAGCGCGCGUAGGCGGCCCGGUAAGUCCGCUCUGAAAGUCCAGGGCUCAACCCUGGAAAGCGGGUGGAUACUGCCGGGCUAGAGUCCGGAAGAGGCGAGUGGAAUUCCUGGUGUAGCGGUGGAAUGCGCAGAUAUCAGGAGGAACACCUAUAGCGAAGGCAGCUCGCUGGGACGGUACUGACGCUGAGGCGCGAAAGCGUGGGGAGCGAACAG